rnacentral:rRNA from 1 species
AAGAGCUCAGAUUUGAAAUCGUGCUUUGCGGCACGAGUUGUAGAUUGCAGGUUGGAGUCUGUGUGGAAGGCGGUGUCCAAGUCCCUUGGAACAGGGCGCCCAGGAGGGUGAGAGCCCCGUGGGAUGCCGGCGGAAGCAGUGAGGCCCUUCUGACGAGUCGAGUUGUUUGGGAAUGCAGCUCCAAGCGGGUGGUAAAUUCCAUCUAAGGCUAAAUACUGGCGAGAGACCGAUAGCGAACAAGUACUGUGAAGGAAAGAUGAAAAGCACUUUGAAAAGAGAGUGAAACAGCACGUGAAAUUGUUGAAAGGGAAGGGUAUUGCGCCCGACAUGGGGAUUGCGCACCGCUGCCUCUCGUGGGCGGCGCUCUGGGCUUUCCCUGGGCCAGCAUCGGUUCUUGCUGCAGGAGAAGGGGUUCUGGAACGUGGCUCUUCGGAGUGUUAUAGCCAGGGCCAGAUGCUGCGUGCGGGGACCGAGGACUGCGGCCGUGUAGGUCACGGAUGCUGGCAGAACGGCGCAACGCCGCCCGUCUUGAAACACGGACCAUGCAUAUCAAUAAGCGGAGGAAAAGCCGUCUUGAAACACGGACC